GGGUCAGGAUUAGGGGUGGGGUUAAGAUUCGGCAAUCAGGUAGCGACUUCAACGAGGGGGGUAAUAAUUUGGCAGGGGGUCGAAAUUCGGCACAACACCGGCACUUCUCACAUGUUGCGUAUUGUGCCGAAUUCUGACCCCUACCAGACUAUUAGCCUCCAGGUAUAGGUAGGUUUAGUAGCUAUUAGCUGUGGGGGUAGAAUUAGGCAAUCAGGUACUAACUUCAAUGAGGGGGGUAAUAAUUUGGCAGGGAGUCAAAAUUCAGCACAACACUUUGCCAGUCAGAGUGUCAGUGCAAGAGAGCAGGGCCAUCAGUAGCGGGCCGAAUGGUGGUGAGAAUUCCAUCAACAGAGAGGUGAAGCUCAAAGAAUUCUCCCAGAAACAAAGUCACUCCUUUCCUCUUUCCAUGAGAGAAAUCAGCUAGGCUUUUACCCAGUAUGGAGAAGCUUCUGUGUUGGCAGUCUCCCGACAGCAUGUAGCUGCAGUCUCCAGGGAACUCAUAAAUCACACCGUCAAAUGUGUGUAUAUGCUGCCGGCUAAACAGACUACAGCGACCAGAUCCCUCGACAGUCACAAAACCUACAGAACAAAGAGGACAGGAGGAAAAGCAAACAGGCACAAUCAUGCACAAACAUGCACAAACUCUCACCUGAAAAAUUCAAGACGAAAACCCACAGGAUUCUGCUCCAUCCUUUCCAUCUGCACGACUCCAUCUGAUUAAAGAAAAGAAGA